rnacentral:rRNA from 1 species
UACGUAGGGUGCAAGCGUUGUCCGGAAUUAUUGGGCGUAAAGAGCUCGUAGGCGGUUUGUCACGUCGGCUGUGAAAACCCGAGGCUCAACCUCGGGCCUGCAGUCGAUACGGGCAGACUAGAGUAUGGCAGGGGAGACUGGAAUUCCUGGUGUAGCGGUGAAAUGCGCAGAUAUCAGGAAGAACACCCGUGGCGAAGGCGGCUCUCUGGGACGGUACUGACGCUGAGACGCGAAAGCGUGGGGAGCGAACAGG